rnacentral:rRNA from 1 species
GACGAACGCUGGCGGCGGGCUUAACACAUGCAAGUCGAACGGAAAGGCCCUGCUUUUGUGGGGUGCUCGAGUGGCGAACGGGUGAGUAACACGUGAGUAACCUGCCCUUGACUUUAGGAUAACUUCAGGAAACUGGGGCUAAUACCGGAUAGGAGCUCCUGCUGCAUGGUGGGGGUUGGAAAGUUUCGGCGGUUGGGGAUGGACUCGCGGCUUAUCAGCUUGUUGGUGGGGUAGUGGCUUACCAAGGCUUUGACGGGUAGCCGUCCUGAGAGGGUGACCGGCCCCAUUGGGACUGAGAUACGGCCCAGACUCCUACGGGAGGCAGCAGUGGGGAAUAUUACACAAUGGGCGGAAGCCUGAUGAAGAAACGCCGCGUGCGGGAUGAAGGCCUUCGGGUUGUAAACCGCUUUCGCCUGUGACGAAGCGUGAGUGACGUUAAUAGGUAAAGAAGCACCGGCUAACUACGUG